AACGAACGCUGGCGGCAGGCCUAACACAUGCAAGUCGAGCGCCGUAGCAAUACGGAGCGGCAGACGGGUGAGUAACACGUGGGAACGUGCCCGAAGGUACGGAAUAUUCUCGGGAAACUGAGAGCAAUACCGUAUGUGACCGAGAGGUGAAAGAUUUAUCGCCUUCGGAUCGGCCCGCGUCUGAUUAGCUAGUUGGUGGGGUAAUGGCCUACCAAGGCGACGAUCAGUAGCUGGUCUGAGAGGAUGAUCAGCCACACUGGGACUGAGACACGGCCCAGACUCCUACGGGAGGCAGCAGUGGGGAAUCUUGGACAAUGGGCGCAAGCCUGAUCCAGCCAUGCCGCGUGGAUGAUGAAGGCCCUAGGGUUGUAAAAUCCUUUCGUCAGGGACGAUAAUGACGGUACCCGAAGAAGAAGCCCCGGCUAACUUCGUGCCAGCCGCCGCGGUAAGAC
rnacentral:rRNA from 1 species